UCGCAGUGAUGAAGAUGUGUUCGUGUGCCAGAUAAAGAGCUCUCUAUCGAGCUCUUUGGUGAUGGCAAACACAACCCUCUAAGAAGUUCUGAGCGA